UUCUGCUUAAGAGCUCAGUCGGUAGAGCACGAGACUCUUAAUCUCAGGGUUGUGCUUGCUAAAAAUUGGAAAACUCAAGAACUACCAACAGUGGAAG